UCCCAGACUCCUACGGGAGGCAGCAGUGGGGAAUAUUGCACAAUGGGGGGAACCCUGAUGCAGCGACGCCGCGUGGGUGAAGAAGUCAUUCGUGACGUAAAGCCCUAUCAGCAGGGAAGAAAAUGACGGUACCUGACUAAGAAGCCCCGGCUAACUACGUGCCAGCAGCCGCGGUAAUACGUAGGGGGCAAGCGUUAUCCGGAUUUACUGGGUGUAAAGGGAGCGUAGGCGGUUAGAUAAGUCUGAUGUGAAAGCCCACAGCUUAACUGUGGGAUUGCAUUGGAAACUAUAGAACUAGAGUGUCGGAGAGGUAAGUGGAAUUCCUAGUGUAGCGGUGAAAUGCAUAGAUAUCAGGAGGAACACCGGCGGCGAAGGCGGCCUGCUGGACCGCGACUGACGUUGAGGCUCGAAAGCGUGGGGAGCGAACAGGAUUAGAUACCCCCGUA
rnacentral:rRNA from 1 species